AAAAUCCUCGCCGCCGCCACC
rnacentral:sRNA from 1 species